rnacentral:lncRNA from 1 species
UGAAACUCUAAUUUAACUGGCAGGUCGUGCAGUUUUAUUUGUUAAAUCUGGAAACCCUACUUGCUGCUCUUUGGAUUGAGCCUGUUGGACUUCAGGAAUAUCCAGUGGUGACUGUUAGGCCUCAAUCCAAAGGAAUCUUGGAGAAAAGUUACUUGGCCUCUCUACCAGAGAGCAAUUAAGAGCAAUUUGUAUUCUCUGAAUAAAAGACAAUUUAGAACCUAAGACUUCAUUUUUUGAGGAAAAGCUAUAGUCCAAAGCCAUUGUCCUGUUUCCCUAAGAUGGGUGAGGCCAUCAUUUAGAGGGAUUUCUCUGUCGGCCCUGGGACUAAUUUUAUCAUGUGAAAAAUGAACAAACCAAGCAAAUCACAACACGUCUCUUUUUUCUUUUAAAUCUUCUUGGGUCUGGGUUACAGUUGAACUUUUUAUAGAAUCUGCCUUCCGUUUGCUCUGGGGUCAGAGAUCCGUUCUACGGGUAGCUGCACUAUUAGAACAUUCACCUGUGUGAAUGCUUUUGCAUCCUGAAGUACCUUAGUUACACCUGAGCCCGGUUAAUAUAAAGCUUAGCACGCAAAGGCUUCUGCCUCAUCAUUUGCUUUCCUUCCUCCUGGCUGUUGGGGCUUCUGGAGACCGUCUGGCUUGUUUGGAGAUUUAGCUAAGGGGAUCGGUGGUUUCUCCUCAUUGUGACAAGGAUACACUUGUCACAUCAUGGAAAAGGAGGUAUCGUGAAGAAGCAGGCAAAGACUUGGGAUAAUGUCAUCUACUUUCUUUUUUUGCCUUGUGUUGUUGAAGACUACUAACUUGAGGUAUUUGUUGUUGCAGAAUCGUGAAUAUGACUGGGAAGUGACAGUCGCCCAUCUUUCGCACCUAGAGAACUGUCCUCGGGAUCUACAGAGAGGAUCAACUAUUACAGUUUGUGGAAUGAAAGCGAGAGGCUGAUUACAACAUAAUGGAGUGUACCGUAUUCAUCUCUUUGAAAUAUGACCUCACCCGGCCUUUUCCAUUUUACAAUCGAUUCUCUCAUUCC